UACAGAGGGUGCGAGCGUUGCCCGGAAUCACUGGGCGUAAAGGGCGCGUAGGCGGCUUGAUAAGGUUGCGGUGAAAGCCCGGGGCUCAACCCCGGGUCGGCCGUGGCAACUGUCGAGCUGGAGCACUGUAGAGGCAGGUGGAAUUCCGGGUGUAGCGGUGGAAUGCGUAGAGAUCCGGAAGAACACCGGUGGCGAAGGCGGCCUGCUGGGCAGUGGCUGACGCUGAGGCGCGACAGCGUGGGGAGCAAACAGG
rnacentral:rRNA from 1 species